UAUCAAUCAAUGGAUUACGAGUUUCUUAGAGGACCAGCUUUUUCAAAUAAUAUGGCCAAAGAUAACCUACAAACUAUGACCCCACUUGAGUGGUGGCGUUUGUAUGGUGGCCGUGCUAUUGAGUUACAGAGAUUUGCUAGACGUUUGGUGAGUCUUUGUUCAUCAGGUUGUGAACACAAUUGGAGUACCUUUGAAUUUAUCCAUACAAA